ensembl:lncRNA GTF2IRD1P1 GTF2I repeat domain containing 1 pseudogene 1
AGACGCGUGGCCACAGCCGGCCGGUCAGUGUUCGCAGGCUCCGACCCGGCGGCCAACACCAGUCAGACAAGGGCAGCAUGUGUGAAGACUGCGGGCCAGACCCGUCACCAACCUCUGAGGAAAUGACAGACUCAAUGGCUGGGCACCUGCCAUCGGAGGAUUCUGAUUGUGGGAUGGAGAUGCUGACAGACAGUCAAGGUGACGUGAUCCGGCCCCUGUGGAAGCAGGUGGAGCUGCUCUUCAACACAAGAUACGGAACCUCCGGGGAGCUGGGUUGGCUGAAGCCAAUCAAAAUUGAGCCAGAGGAUCUGGACAUCAUUGCGGUCACUGUCCCAAGUAAGCGACGGACAUCUGACCACCCCCUGCAGAAAUGAGGACCGUAACAUAAGCCUCCUGAGGGUCUGCCCUGGUGAAGAAGAGGCCUCCAGGCCACUGUUUCUCUCCAUGGAUUCUGAGGCCCACCUGGGUAUUGUGAAUUCUUUCUCUGGCCACAUCUGCCCCCUGCAUUGUGAACCAGUGUUCUUAGCUCUGACGUUCCAGAAGAUCCCCUCAAACAUCACCUCCCUGGCUUGGCUUCCCUGGGAUUUGUGAGGCUGGAGAGAAGAAAAAGGCAUAAGCCUGAGAGGCUCCAAGUUGGACCCUACCCCCUGCCAAGCCUCAUUUUCCACAUCUUCAGAGGAGAGGGUAGAUUUGGGCACUGGAGCCUCAGUAUGGGGUGACUGUCAGAAGCCAAGAGGGUGCCGGACGCAGUGGCUCAUACUUGUAAUCCCGGCAUUUUGGGUGGCUGACAUGGGAGGAUUGCUUGAGGCCAGGAGUUCAAGACCAGACUGGGCAACAUAAAAAGACCCCCCAUCUCUACAAAAAAUACAAAACAUUAGCCAAA